rnacentral:rRNA from 1 species
CCUACGGGUGGCAGCAGUAGGGAAUCUUCGGCAAUGGACGCAAGCCUGAUCGAGCAACGCCGCGUGAGUGAAGAAGGUUUUCGGAUCGUAAAACCCUGUUGUUAGAGAAGAACAUGGAUGGUAGUAACUGAUCUUGCACUGACGGUAUCCAACCAGAACGUCACGGCUAACUACGUGCCAGCAGCCGCGGUAAUACGUAGGUGGCAAGCGUUGUUCGGAUUUAUUGGGCGUAAAGGGAGCGCAGGCGGUUGCUUAUGUCUGAUGUGAAAGCCUUCGGCUCAACCUGAGAAGUGCAGUUGAAACUGGGCGGCUUGAGUGCGGAAGAGGCAGGUGGAAGUCCAUGUGUAGCGGUGAAAUGCGUAGAUAUAAGGAAGAACACCAGUGGCGAAGGCAGCUGUCUGGUCUGUAACUGACGCUGAGGCACGAAAGCGUGGGGAGCAAACAGGAUUAGAUACCCUAGUAGUC